GUUUGAAGCUUUAUGAAUGCAUUUGCAAUGUGACCCUACCACUUGAUUAUUACCACAUCCAGAUUUGAUUAUUACCCUACUUUAUUUCUGUCAGUUGAGUAGAUGGGACUGUAUGAGUUCUUUCAAGUCAUAAUGUAACACCUAUUUGGCUUUUUGCACAGUUUUGAGUGAUCCAGUCAAAAGGAGGGAAUAUGACAUAAACGGAAUGCGUUAUGAAUAUGAUUACAAUAUCAUUGAUUAUCUUAAUCGUUACAAGGGCCUUAUCUUGACUUGCAAUGGCCUUGGCAUAAAGCAUUCGAUAUGGUAAACAAAAACAUGACAGAUAGCCUUUCAGUGCAUCUAGGACAGUUUUUUAGAAGUACCUGGCACUGCAUGCCAUGCUUAGUGUUGAAGAUAUCUGAUUAUGAUGUCCUGGAGAGAGUUUCAUGCUUUUUUGUAUAAGAGAAAUGGACAAAAUGGAACUUCUACCUGUUGUAAUUAUGCUCUCUCUUCCCUUGCAUUCCUUCAUACUUGUGCUUAGAUCAUCUCAAAUGGUCAAGAUGCAUAAGUUGAAUUUAAUUCUAACAUUGGUUCGACUAAACUAAAAUUCACUAGGCCAGUCUUCCGAAAAGAACAUUGAUUAAAGGGAUUACACAAUUUAAGUUAUUUAAUUUAGCAAUAGUUCAGUUAUUAUCAA